rnacentral:lncRNA from 1 species
UUUUUGUUUGUUGCCGUAAAACACCUUUGAGAGCUGUUGUUAUAGAAGAGUUGCUGUGCAUGUCACUUUGUAAACCUUGUUUGAUAGUGGAUUUCCUUCUCCCUGCUGCUCCGUGGACGUAGGCAAUUGCCGAACUACGUCAAAUCCUUUGUGUUCUUUUUUGUUUUCUGUUCUUGCAUAGAUUUGAUCUGUGGGUAUUUCCCCGCAUUUCCCCGCAGUAAUCUCUUGUUCAUCUAUUAGCUGCUGUUAUUUGGUGCUGUUAUUUGGUCCGCAACAAAAUCUUCCACCACCAAUUGAAGGUAUUAUCAACUUAAUCUUUGUUGACUAGCUCUUUUUUUGAGAUUUUGAUUUCGGUUGUUUCUGGGUAUUCGAUUUCAAGUUCCAAUUGCUUUUCUCAUUGUUUUUCAGGUCUCCUAAAAGUAGGCAUUCAAGCAACUUUCUGUCAUUAGCAUUCUUGAUUAAUUACAUGAAUGUUUGUAUGCAUGUAUCUUUCUAUGAGGAUUUCGUAUCAGUGCAACCAUGUUUCGUAUAUACAGGACUAAAGUUGCAACCAUAUUUACCCGGCUCUAGAUGUGUAAGGCAUAUCAUUAUCUUGCCAAUUGAAUUUGCAGGUAUCCAAGUUUAUGAGAAAGUUUUAACUUGGCUAUAUAUAUAUCUCCUUAGAGUGAUAAAAAUUUAAACCUAUUCAUAUAUAUGAACCAGUAUACUGUAGAUCAAUAGUCAUGCUUUCUUUUCUUUUUCUUUUAUCAUCUUAUUUAGACUCUGUGUUCUGUGAUAGAUAGCAAUAGAUGAUUGUGCUCAAUGGUAUCAUACGACAUGUGGGUAGUGUUUUACUCUUUUGAAUAAGAGUAGUGAUGUUGUUGUGGUCUAGUUUUAAUCUGUUAUUUACUUUCACUUUUUUCAAUUUGUAGUGCAAGUUCAAGUGUUCAAGAACUCAUAACGGUUCCAUCUCAGCCCCAUAUUGUUACAGUUUCUUGAGGUAGUUCCAUAUCAUGACAGGAGACGUGCUUUUGCAGAUGGAAAAUUCCAUAGUAUAUAGGAAUGAAAACUUACUUAUCUUUACUCUAAUAUCUUAUAGCAAUCUGCCUAAUUUUCUGUUUUGUCCGACUUGCAUAUCUUUACUGUAGAGCUAAGGGGAUGCAAAUUCACAUCUUCAUUUUGAGUGACCGCUGCAGAAAGGGGAUUUACUCUGAUUGGUCUUGCAGAAAUACAUAAGUUAGCACACUGCUAAAGACAAAGUUGAAAGGUGUUAAUAGGGUAGAUCUAGACUGCUGGUAUGAUAAUUGAUGAGAAACCAAAGUAAGUUUAAGUUUUAUGUAAAAACUGCUGGAACCUAAAUUACUUAACAAAGUUUAACAAAGUUAUUGUAUAACAUUAUUUGAUGGCAGAAUGCAUUACACUUAUAUUUCUCCACAUGGACUUAAUUAUUUGCUUUGAUGUGUAUUUGAGUGUAGAUUGUGUGCCGAUAGUGUGCACUUCUGCUGCAUGAGCCAGGGGAUGUGUUGGAAAUGUGCGUGUUCCUUUUGGUCUCUGGAUUUGUUCUUUUCAAAAUUUGAUUAGUAUAUAUGUAUACUUUGUAAUAGACACGAGUUUAGAAGAUGGUGCCACAAAAUUGUUCAAACCUCAAGGAUAUUUAUUUGAAUUCCGUAGUUGGGUUUUGUUGUCAUUUACUUUGGCAUUUCUAUUAGUGAGGAUGCAGGGCUAGGACUGUGGUGCAGCAUAAGGAUGAUUUGGCAUCUGCAAUUGCAUAGUCCAUCCUCGAUCUUGCUUUGUAAUGCUGAAUGAUGAAUAACCAUGAGGAUUUGAUUACAGAAGAGACACAAGGGCCAACUAGCAUUCUGAUGCCUUGCUGAUAUUUUUUAUUAUUACUGACGUUAGUAUGUAAUUGAGAUAUAUGGAAUUGGUGGUCAUCAUUUUGAGUUGGACUAAGCCAUUGGAAGAGUCGCAUUACAAUCAUGUGUUUUAUGGUCCAAUAGUCUAUAGAACACGAAAACAAUAUUCACACGCGUGAGUGCGGCCCUUUCGCGCGUGUAUACGCAGGAAGGGUAGUUUGGGUUUAUAGGUGGACUUAUUUUAUAAAUUUAUAAAUUGGGCUGAUCAAUCAUUACUUCCCUGGCUGUCAUCAUCAUCAGAAUUAUUACUCAA